CACAACACCAUAGCCCAUUGAAACGACUAAAAGAAGAACACGGGACAAUGUCUUUUUUACAGCAGUCAUUGUAACUGCCCAUAUCGUAAUUACCAUAGGCCUACUUCCAGUGGAAUUAAGAUUUGCAUAUUCAAAGUACCAAAGAGCCAUUUCAGACAUGCCAAGGGCAAUAACAGCAGUAAUCUGGUAAUGUAGCUGUAUGACAUCCUUCCAGAACUGGACAAACCUUAGAAACCAAAAUACACCAAGUACAAGAUAGGCUAAAGAAGCAAGUCCGUAGAAGGUCAUCAAUGGUACCAUCCUCCCUGGUAAAUAGCCAUCUGGAUUUUUCCAUACUGUUCUGCCUCUGAUUAUUGUUCCCUUAAGUUCUGGGUCACAAAACAUGUAAUAAAGAUAAUACAUGCCAGUACUGUUUAUUUCAACUGUUGUGGGAAGCAUAUUUGCCUCCUGAUUCUUUCCUUCAAAAAACGUCUGAAUACGUAGUGGCCAAAGUGGGUUGUCUUGGUUGUGCUGAAUUAUAACCUCUCCGACAGUGCAGAACUUCUCUUGAGCAAGUUUUGGAGUACAACACAGAGCAUUAGACUUUGCAAAAGCAUCUCCGAUCCUGUCUCUGUCUCUGACCUCAAGAAUGAUAGUUUCAAUCAACCCAGUUCGACUCUGCAUUUCAUUUUUCGCAUUAGCAGACUCCCUCGUCCUCAAAAAAACAACAUCUUCAAAUCUGAUAAACGAUUUUCCUUCAAGAGGUUUGUCUGGAGAAGCAUUUGGUGACGAUUUCGGAGCAUAGAGACCUUCAGUUCCCCCAUGGAAGAAGAAAGCAUUGGACUUUGGAAUAAAUUGCUCAUCUUUGUACUCGUGAAUUGAAGAUGACACUUUACUGAAAAAGUUGAAAGUAAAGAAAAUCAGAACUAGUACGUCGGAAGUAAUACGUUUCAUCGGUAACCUCGCCGUGAUUCGCCGUGUACGGAGGAGCAAAAGGUGGUUGGUCCGG
rnacentral:misc_RNA from 1 species